CAAUUGUAUGGAAUUGUAGUCCAUAACAUCUGGAGUGCCAAAGGUUCACCACCACUGGUAUAGUUAGACCAGAAUGUUUAUUCCGACAGAUUAACCAAAGAGGCCUUCUAAAUGCAGUUAUUUCACAUGUGACACUAGAGAGACCAGUGAAAAAAUGACUUCUAUUCACAACCACUCCAGUGACCUAAAACCACUCAGAGUUUUUGGUGUUUUCUGGGGCAGAGCAGUCCUGCUGUGCCCUGCCAGGCCUAUUCCAUUUCACCAUUCAAGCCAUCUGGGCACCAGUGUCUGCCCAAGGUUUCUACCCGGCAUGUGCCACGCACCUGAUUUCCUGAACACUCGGAGGCACUUCUCUCUUUCCACGGCCUUUGUAGCGAUUGCCCACUGAGAAGGCCAGGAGUCCCACCUUCUCACCCUGCUCUGAGGUCUCGCCUCUGUGUCUGGAGCUUUCCAGUGUAUGGCUACCACAGGCCUUUGUGGGCCCUUGAGGGAGUAGCUCCUCGCCAACUGACUGCCCCCUUCUUGGAACUGCUGUGUAAAAUAGUGCACCCAGGUUGAAGACGUGUCCUGCCUGCUGAGUGAACAUGAGUAGGCAGGAAACACUUUAUUUCUCCUGCCCAAGCCUCUUAUUUUAGUUUCUGCUACUCGCUUCCGCCAUUUUGUGUCCUGCAGCAGAUUCUCCGUGAAGAUUCCCCAUGGAGAUUUCCUCAGGCCUUUGCUGUUUCACUGUAAAAAGUAGAUGAAUAAAGUUUGUUUUGCCUACCAAUCCCA